GGCGGAGCCCGCGGCCCCACGGCUCGCGUUUCCGGACGGGACUUCCCGGGCCGCUCGCGCGCCCUCCCACGUGACGCGAGAGCGCGGGGGGAGGAGGGAGCGAGCAUGCGCGGCCGGGGACCGCGACUUCCGGGCGCGCGGCGGGCCGGGGCGGGGGUCGCGGCUCUAGAUCCUCCGCGGGGGCGUCAGAGAAAAGGGCAGGUCGUGAGAGCGAGGAUGGGGCGUGAGACGGCGGGCCGGGCUUCGGACCCCGUAGCCCAGCUCCCCGGCCGCCCCGGCUCGAGCUGGAGGGGAGCCCUCGCCUGCAGGGAUGACCAAGCCGGGCAGGAAGCGCCAGCACGGCCCGGGACGGGGACUCAGAGCGGAAAGGCCGGGCCGGGGCGCUCGGGGGAUGAGGAGGCCACUCCGGUCGUUGUGCGUGCGACACAGUCGUGACUUGGACUCGGGCGGUGGAGGUGGAGCGAUCCAAGCGUGGCUUGAUGAGCAGUGUGUAGGUCCAUGCCAGGGAUCCGAACCUGUGAACUCUGGGCUGCCAAAGCAGAGUACGCAAACUCAACCACUCCACCACCUGUCUGGCCCCUCUCUGAUCUAUUUUUAAGUGAAAAAGAAAAACCUACAGAACAGCAUAUACGGUAUGCCACCUUUUGGGGUGAUAAUGGGGGGAAAAGAAUAUUUUCUUGUAUUUACAAAGAGAAACAUUGGAGAAUAUGUAAGACACAAAUAGUGGUUACCUGAAGGCAGGGACCAACAGGGCCGGUGAUGGGGCACAGAACAGGCAGGGAACAUAGUCUGGAGGGAGCAUCUCAAUGUUUAUCUUUUAAUGACAAAGAAUAAAGAUUACGACACAAUGCUUAGGGGAAAAGGAAAUAGAAAGUACACAGAAUUAACCAGUCAAGUGAGAAAUCUUGCUGGAAAGAGCAGAAAAAUGUAAGAUGUGGGAUAAAGGAAGAGGUUUUAAUUUUAAUCUGAUUCAUUAGAACUGGAAACUAAUUGCUGGUGACAUGACUCAAAAUUUAAAAAGGGCCCCCUCUUCUCCCAUCCUCCAGACACCAAGUUCUCUCCCCGUAAGUGACCAAGAUUUCCAAGUUACCUAUUUCUCUAACAUCCUUCCAGAAAUAUUUUAUACACAUGCGAAAGUAUGUGCACAUAAUUUCCCCUCUUCUCACACGUCCCUUUUACCACCCUCUGGAGAUCACCCCGUACCACAGGCACAUGCAGAGCACCUUCACUUUAUGGCUGUGCAUUAUCUGGGUCAACGUGUGGACUGUGGCUGAUUUCACCAUUCCCCUCCGGCUCGUGGGCAUUUAAACCUUUUCCAAUAUUUGCUCUGCCGACAAAGACCCUGACACAUAAGUCGUUUUGCACAUGUGCGAGCUGGUCUGCAGGAUGGAUUCCCGGAGCUCCUGGGUCAGAGCAUUCGUGCCACUGUAAUGGGGGCAGCAGUUACCAUUUGCCCUGGGAAUCAGACGAGGACCAGCUGAGACCCUGCCGCAGCCUCACCGAUAAAGGCAGCUUCACAGUUAUCUUUCCUGGUCUGAUGCAAAAUGGUCUCUCUGUGUAUUUUUUUUUCCUGUAAACGUUUUAUUAUGGGAAGUUUUCAAACAUACACGUCUUUUUAAGUACAGCAAACUCGCCCUGUGCCCCUCCUUCCAGCUUUCGUGCUGCAUCUUGACCUCCCUCUGUUGUCCUCCCACAACUAUUUUUAUAGUCUUAGAGUACAAGUGUUGAGAUGCACAAAUCUUAACCGUAAAUUUGGACAAAUGGUUACAGGUGCAUAGCACAGCCCCCUCUAAGACUCUAGAAAUGUCCACCACCCCCCAAAAUUCCCUCAUGCUCUCUCUAGUCAAUCCUCAUUCUCCACCCGGAGGCAAGUGUGGUUCUGAUUGUUCCCCCCGUCCAUGAGUUCUCUGCUCUGGAGCCUACAAGUGAAGCCAUGCAGGAUGGGCUCUGUCUGCCUUCUGUCCCUCACGAGGGGACACUCACCCACGUGGCUGUUUCACCGCUCCUUCCCUUUCCGUGGCCCAGUAGCCCAUGUGUCGUAUUCUGCACUUAGUGUGUCCAUUCUCCACUUGAUGGACGUGCCGGUUGUUUCCAGUUUCUUGGUAACACGGAUAAAGCUACUACCAACAUUUGAGGUAGGUCCCUUUGUGGACACAUUCCGUUUCUCUUGGAUAAUACGUAGGAGUGGAAUUGUUGGGUCAAAUGUCAGGUGUAUAUUUACCUUCCUAAGAAACUGGCGAUCCGUUUUGCAAUGGUUGUGCCAUUUCUGAAUUCCCACCGGCGGCAUACGAGUUCCCCCUCUCCACACCCCACUGAUGGUCCGUGUGGUCAGUCUUUGAAUUUCAGAAUGGGUGUGCAGUGGGGUCUCCCUGUGGUUUUAAUUUGCAUUCCCCUGGUGACUAAUGAUGCUGCACACUUUUCCAUGUGCUGAGUAGCCAAGCCCGCAGCUUCCUUUGUGAGCGUCUGUCAGUCCGUUGCCACCAACAUGCGUCUCACUGGCUGCAGUUUCUGUUUUCAGGGGUCGGCUCCUUUCCAGCUUCUGCCUGCUUUUACUCGUGCUCCAGGGCCUUCACAUUGUUUUUCGAAACAUAUAUAUUUGCGUCCAGAAUUUCUCAUUGUCAUCUGUGAGGGGUAGUCGGCGUGACCAGAGUUUCCACACGGUCUCCGCGUUUCUCUGUUACGCCCCCGUGAAGGAGGUGGAGCAGCCUUUCCCGAGUCCUAGAGCCCCUUGCCCCUCCUUUCCCUGGGCCGCACGGGGAGGGGAUGUUUACAUUCAUCUGUGGUUUUACCGAGGAGUUUGACAGAAAAAGAGACCCAAGACUCAGGCCUGGGGGGCGGGGGCUGAGUAAAGAGGGGAGGGAGGAGGGGAGGCCCAGAGACGGUGGAGGGCUUCAAAACCGCAAGGCCAAAGAAUGAUUACCAGGCAGCCGCUUGACCAGGCACCCAGGGAACAGAGCUGGUGCUCGCGGCAGAGCCCAGGGCCGUGCUGGUAUUCCUCAUGACUAAGAAGAAGAAGAGGAGAUCAGGACUCAGACACGCACAGAGGGACGACCGUCUGAGGACCCUGGGGGAAGACGGCCAUCCACACGCCCAGGAGAGAGGCCUAGGGAGUCACCCACCCUGCUGACACUUUGAUCUUAGACUUCCAGCCUCCAGGACGGGGAGACAAUGAACGUCGUUGUGUAAGCUGCCCAGGGGGUGCUGAGUGUCAUGGCCGCCCAGGCAAACUCACAGAACCAAUAAACAAAUCACAAGGUGUGAUACUGUGAUUUGUAAUGACCUGAGCCAGUACCUGGCACAGAGAUCCUAAUGCCCUUGGAAUCCCCAGUGUUGAGAGGGAUCACGGCGUCUUUUGUUAUGUUAAUGAGGUGACUUUUGGGCCCCACCCAAGGAUGGGGCUGGAUGCCAGGGCCACCAACCGGGAGGUUCGGGGGUUGAAACUUUCAGUUGGACUCCCUGACUCGGGGAGGAGAGAGGAGAGCAUCAGCCACCUGAGGCCAAUGAUUUCAUCAAUCAUGCCCACAUAGUGAAGCCUCCAUAAAACCCCAAAGGACGGUUCAGAGAACUCGCGGGCUGGGGAACACGUGGAGAUUUGGGGGAGUGGUGCCCUAGGAGAGGGCAUGGAAGCUCCGAGCCGUUCCCCACACCGGGCCCUGUGCAUCGCUUCGUCUGCUUGUUCUGAGUUACAUCCCUUCACACUGGAGCGGUGAUCCAGCAGAUAGUUUUCCUGAGUUCUGUGAGCAGCUCUAGCAAAUUAAUUGAGCCCAAGGAGGGGGUCGUGGGAACCUCGGAACUCAAGCCGGCUGGUCAGAAGCACAGGGGACAACCUGGACUUGGGACUGGCAUCUGAAGUGGAGGGGGCAGGCUUGUGCCCUUAACCUGUGGGAUCUGACGCCGUCUCCAGGGGGUUGGUGUGAGAACUGAGGUACUGAGGUGAACUCAGGACACCCAGCUGGUGUCGGAAGAUUCCUUGUUGGGUGUGUGGGACCCCCCCCCCCCGACACACACACAGUGGAAUUGGGUCCAGAACCUCAUUUACAAGCCCUGCCUUCUGCUGAAGAAGGCAAAGGUAUGGGUUUCUCUUUACUCAGGC
rnacentral:lncRNA from 1 species